GAGGGUAUAGCUCAGUGGAUUGAGAGCACGCUUAGCAUGCACAAGGUCCUGGGUUCAAUCCCCAGUGCCUCCA
rnacentral:tRNA from 1 species